AUCUUGCUGUUCAAAUGAACUCAAGUCCAGAAGUUGGGGGUGGGUACUUGGCCCUCUCCUGUCUAAGCAACCUUAGCCAACAGGUUGUGGUUAGGACUUGGCAGGUGCCAAAAAUGGUUGAAAGAAAAUGUGUGUGGAUUUCUCCAAGGUGAUGUGGAGGAGGCCCCUGGCAAGAGAGUUUGUUGCGUCGGGCUAUGGACCAGGAGGGGAAGAAGGGACCUAGCACCUUGUAACCUUUGUGUGGCACCAGCUCACUUAACCUCCUCUCUGAAUACCCAGCAGGCUACUGCAGAAGGAUUGCAGCAGUCGUGGCUCUUGGAGAAGCAACUCCUGUCGCAGCAGCUGGAAAGUGCAGCAAGAAGUCACAAGGCUGAAACUUGCCAACACUGAGCUGAAGGAAUUCAAUGCUGAACUCAAGAAGACUCUUGAGGAGGUGGAAUGUCAAUGGAGGAAACUGAUGAGGCUCCACCGUGAUCAGUCGCUGCCAGGUGCAAGUGAAUCUUCCCUCUCCAAGUCUCACCAGCACAAGAUGCCUGCUUCUAGAUGGGAGGAGUCCUAUGCACACUGCAGGCACCAAUGACCUGACUUGCAGAACCAGGGGAUGAGCCAGAAAGUUCUCACUUCCUGAGCAGCUGUAGCGCUGCACAGUUCCUGUCCUGUACCCUUCCCAGAACUGUCUUCUUUUACUGCUGUGGGACAGAGGGGUGGGUUUGUUCUCUUGCCAUUCAGAAGUAUGGGCAGGGACUCCUGACUUUCCUUUUUUGUUUCUUAAUAAAAGACAUUCUGCAGUUGUUCAGUAUGGGGAAGCAAGUGGUCUUCCUUCCUGCCCUUUUUAUAGAGGGGUGUCUCGCUGGCCAACCUCCAAUCCUCUGGGACCUGUCCACUGGACCAGGACUGCUGACAGAUGAUGGAGAGUGGCUUGGCAAGCUCCUCUGCCAGCUCCUGUGGGCACUCCUGACCCACAGAUUUGUGUACGUCUAAGAGGAGCAGGAGAUCGCUAACCAUUUCUUCCUGUGUUAUGGGGACUUCAGUCAGCUCUUCACUGUCAUCUGGCUCAGGGAAGCGAGUACCCCGAGGAUGGCUGGUGUGACUAUUAAAGCCUGAGGCAAAGGCAGCAUUAACCACCACAGCCCUUCUCCCAUCCUCAGUCACUAGGUUUCUCCUAGUAUGCAACAGAGAAUGGAGGUUCUCCUUGGCCCUCCUUUCAUUGCUAAUGUAUCUGUAAAGGUACUUUUCAUUAGCUUUUAUGGCAGUGGCCAGAUUUUGUUCCAU